rnacentral:lncRNA from 1 species
GCCAAGGAGGAGACAGUGUGCGCUGGACUUGCGAAGAGGGAGAACACGUCCUCUUUUCUCUCACGUCAUUUUAGCUCGAGGAACAGAACACAAGCCGCCGUUUCUUUCGUAAGCGGAGUAGCCGGACAUCGCGCAGAGGACAAACACAGAGAGAGAGAGAGAGAGAAAGAGAGAGAGAAAGAAAGAAAUAGAGAUAAAGAAGAAGAAGAAGAAGAAAAGAGCAACAGCACAAACCAAGAUGAAUGAGGACGAGAUACAGCUGGCUCAAGCCCUGGCCAAGAUGGGAGGCCCCAGGACCCCGACGGCGUUGCUGAAGGCGAAGGUGCAAGGCUUCAGGUGAGGACUUCCUCGGCAAUGUUGGGGGCUUGUGAGUACCAUGAUCGGCCAUCGUGCUCCACACGCCAAG